rnacentral:tRNA from 1 species
GGGGCUGUAGCUCAGUGGCAGAGCGCUACCCCUAGCACGUGUGGGGCACUGAGUUCAAUCCUCAGCACCACA